UACUUAGUGGCAGACGGGUGAGUAACAUGUAGGUAUCUACCCUUUGGCCUGGAAUAACACGAGGAAACUUGUGCUAAUACCGGAUAAGUCUUUACGGAGAAAGCUUUAUGCACCAUUGGAUGAGCCUGCACUAGAUUAGUUUGUUGGUGGGGUAAUGGCCUACCAAGACUAUGAUCUAUAGCUGAUUUGAGAGGAUGAUCAGCCACAUUGGAACUGAGACACGGUCCAAACUCCUACGGGAGGCAGCAGUAGGGAAUCUUGCACAAUGGAGGAAACUCUGAUGCAGCGAUGCCGCGUGAGUGAAGAAGGCCCUUGGGUUGUAAAGCUCUUUCGUCGGGGAAGAAAAUGACUGUACCCGAAUAAGAAGGUCCGGCUAACUUCGUGCCAGCAGCCGCGGUAAUACGAAGGGACCUAGCGUAGUUCGGAAUUACUGGGCUUAAAGAGUUCGUAGGUGGUUGAAAAAGUUGGUGGUGAAAUCCCAGAGCUUAACUCUGGAACUGCCAUCAAAACUUUUCAGCUAGAGUAUGAUAGA
rnacentral:rRNA from 1 species